GGACAUGGCGGGGGCGGGACCCGCGCGCAGACAAAAUGGCGCUGCGUCUGCUGAGGAGGGCGGCGCGCGGAGCGGCGGCAGCGGCGCUGCCGAGGCUGAAAGCAUCUCUGGCAGCUGAUGUGUCCAGGCUUGGGUACAGUUCCUCACCCAAUCACAAAUACAUUCCGCGAAGGGCCGUGCUCUAUGUUCCUGGAAAUGAUGAAAAGAAAAUUAAGAAGAUUCCCUCUCUGAAUGUGGAUUGUGCAGUACUCGACUGUGAGGAUGGUGUGGCUGUGAACAAAAAGGAUGAAGCUCGAUUGAGAAUAGUAAAAACUCUUGAAGACUUUGAUCUGGGCCCAACUGAAAAGUGUGUAAGAAUCAACUCAGUGUCCAGUGGUCUGGCCGAAGAAGACCUGCAGGCCCUCCUGCGGUCCCGGGUCCUUCCUUCCAGCCUGAUGCUCCCGAAGGUAGAAGAUCCUGAAGAAAUCCAGUGGUUUUCAGACAAAUUUUCAUUCUACUUACAAGGCCGAAAACUUGAACAACCUAUGAAUUUAAUCCCUUUUGUGGAAACUGCAAUGGGUUUGCUCAAUUUUAAGGCAGUGUGUGAAGAAGCACUAAAGAACGGGCCUCAAGUGGGUCUUUUUCUAGAUGCAGUCGUUUUUGGAGGAGAAGACUUUCGCGCCAGCAUAGGUGCAACAAGUAGUAAGGAAACCCAAGAUAUUCUCUACGCCCGACAAAAGAUUAUUGUUGUAGCAAAGGCCUUUGGUCUGCAGGCCAUAGACCUGGUGUACAUCGACUUCCAGGAUGGAGAGGGGCUUCUCAAGCAGUCGAGAGAAGGAGCUGCAAUGGGAUUUACUGGUAAGCAGGUGAUACACCCUAACCAAAUUGCAGUGGUCCAGGAGCAGUUUUCUCCUUCCCCUGAAAAACUUAAGUGGGCUGAAGAACUGAUUGCUGCCUUUAAAGAACAUCAACAGUUAGGAAAGGGAGCCUUUACUUUCCGAGGGAGUGUGAUCGACAUGCCAUUACUGAAGCAGGCCCAGAACAUUGUUAGGCUUGCCAUCUCCAUCAAGGAAAAAUGAUCUGCUAAAUGAAGCUCUCAUCAGAAAGGACUUGUGACCAAACAACUCCAAAACUGUGGACUCGGGUUAAUCAGGGAAGGAAAGGAAAGAAAGUGGUGUGGUCGUCUCCUCUUCCUGAGAAUGCUCCCUGGCACACACAGCUUGGAAUUUGCUUUGCCGGCCACGUGGUGACAGGUAACAGGAUUCACCUGCGCUAACUGAUGUAGCUCCUGAAGCAGCAUGGAAUCCAAAGGAAGCUCGACGCUUACUGCUUCAACACACACUUCCUCAUCAGGACCCCACACCGCCACCUUCUGCAGAACCUGGAUCAUGAGCACAGGCAUCGCAUGAGCCCCUUCUUAGGGCAAGGGACUAAAUCCAACAAGAGGUACC